rnacentral:rRNA from 1 species
GACGAACGCUGGCGGCGUGCUUAACACAUGCAAGUCGAACGGUAAGGCCCUUCGGGGUACACGAGUGGCGAACGGGUGAGUAACACGUGGGUGAUCUGCCCUGCACUUCGGGAUAAGCCUGGGAAACUGGGUCUAAUACCGGAUAGGACCCUGGGAUGCAUGUCCUGGGGUGGAAAGCUUUUGCGGUGUGGGAUGGGCCCGCGGCCUAUCAGCUUGUUGGUGGGGUGAUGGCCUACCAGGGCGACGACGGGUAGCCGGCCUGAGAGGGUGACCGGCCACACUGGGACUGAGAUACGGCGCAGACUCCUACGGGAGGCAGCAGUGGGGAAUAUUGCACAAUGGGCGCAAGCCUGAUUCAGCGACGCCGCGUGAGGGAUGACGGCCUUCGGGUUGUAAACCUCUUUCAGCACCGACGAAGCGCAAGUGACGGUAGGUGCAGAAGAAGGACCGGCCAACUACGUGCCAGCCGCCGCCGUAA